UUAAAAAGAAUGAAGGAUUUAGAGAUUCAUUACCCUUGAAGCUCAUCCUUGUUUACACAAGGAAUUCACCCAAGUGAAGGGCCUUCAAGUCACCUCCUAGCUCUUUGGAUCUUCCUUGUGAUUUUCUUCCUUUUGAUGAUCCUUUGCUCCUUGAGGAUAUGAGGAAAGGAUCUCCAAGAACACCAAAGAUUUGGUGUCUCUAAGUCUCCACACCAAGAAUGAGGUGUGAAGAUGAAAUGGAUGACUUAGAGAAGAAAAGAUUGCUAGCUAUCUCUUCCCUAAGUGGCAAGCCUCUUUUAGAGAAAAAGAGAGAAAAUGUUUCUCAUCUUUGUCUCAAGAAAACCCUAAUAAGGUAAAAACUAUAAAGAUGCUUUUAUAUCUCCUUUCUUAGGUGAGUGGCAAACUUGCAAUUAAGCAAAACUUCCCACUUCCCUCACUAUGGCCGGCCAUCUUAAGUGAUUGGGCUAUUUACCCAUAUUUGUUUUAGUUGUCAUACAACUUAAACAUAAUGGACCUAGUGGACCAAACCCUUUUGGACCCUGAAGCCCAAAACUAACUUAAAAGCCCAAUACGAACCUUUCGUAUAAUUAAUCAACUAAUUAAUUAACCUUGACCAUUUUCAAUUAAAUCAUUUAAUUGCUUAUCCAUUUCAUUUAUAUUUCUUCACUUUCAUCCUUACUCGGUGUACGAUCCAUUAUGUUCCAAUUAGCGAGGUAGUGGGCGAUUGUUACUCUUAACAAUCGAUUGUGAAUUGAAACUUCAUUUCAAUUCUCCCCUUGAUUAAGAUUAGUGUUUGCUAAUCUUCAAGGCUUCAACAAACCAUGAGUGACACCUAGCAACAUGUCAUGGUUACCCAAGCUAAAUAGAAUUGGUUGGAGAACCUAUCCAGUUACAAUUACAAUGUAAUACGGUCAUUCUCUAAUACAAUACUCUUAAUCACAUUGUUUGAGUGAUAGUUUGUUUCAUGUCUACUAUCCAACGUAAUACUUCUCUAUAUGAUUCAAUUGAAUAUGAUUUGGAACAUACUUCCUAAGUCAUAUUCGUAUGCUUUGGCCAAAGACUCCCGAAUCAUAUCUUAGAGUAUUCUCCUUCCACCAUAGAAGGUUAGAGAUCCCUUGUUGUGAAUUCAUAUGCCUACAUGACUAGAUAGCUUGACCCCAACAAUGCCGUGGACACUCUCGAUGGAAUGCCUUUGACAUGAUCAAAGAUCAAGGACUUAACCAUUAAACAUCUAUGAUGCCUCAGGUCAAAUGACUACUUUGCAUAUUGCAACUAACGAGUUCUUACAUGACAUGUAUGUUCGAACUCGCUUUUGAUCAUUGUUCAGUGUACUCGAUUACUCUUUCGAGCACCUAUGUGUUUGUCUUAGUGUUCAACACUAAAUGACUUGAGACUAGUCAUACUCAUGCUUGAGUUGACAUAACACAUACUAACCUUAGCGGAUUGUCAAUGCCCAAUUGGCAAUCCUAUGGCUAGGAACGUUUUAGGAAUGAACAUAAGAGAAAGGUCUCGUUAAUCUAACUUACUUAGAUUAGUUCUCUCAGAUUAAAUACUUUCCUUGGAUUCCCUUAUUGCUUAAACACAUGAUACAAUAAAUAGUGAUUAACAAUA
rnacentral:lncRNA from 1 species